rnacentral:piRNA from 1 species
UGGAUUCAGGAAGCCGGGUUCAUUCACUG